rnacentral:miRNA from 1 species
UAUCACAGCCAGCUUUGACGAG